rnacentral:rRNA from 1 species
CGAGGGUGCAAGCGUUAUCCGGAUUCACUGGGUUUAAAGGGUGCGUAGGUGGGCAGGUAAGUCAGUGGUGAAAUCUUUGGGCUUAACCCGAAAACUGCCAUUGAUACUAGUUGUCUUGAAUAUUGUGGAGGUCAGCGGAAUAUGUCAUGUAGCGGUGAAAUGCUUAGAUAUGACAUAGAACACCAAUUGCGAAGGCAGCUGGCUACACAUAUAUUGACACUGAUGCACGAAAGCGUGGGGAUCAAACAGGAUUAGAUACCCUGGUAGUCCACGCCCUAAACGAUGGAUACUCGACAUACGCGAUAUACUGUGUGUGUCUGAGCGAAAGCAUUAAGUAUCCCACCUGGGAAGUACGAUCGCAAGAUUG